AGUGAACGCUGGCGGUAGGCCUAACACAUGCAAGUCGAACGGCAGCACAGUAAGAGCUUGCUCUUACGGGUGGCGAGUGGCGGACGGGUGAGGAAUACAUCGGAAUCUACUUUUUCGUGGGGGAUAACGUAGGGAAACUUACGCUAAUACCGCAUACGACCUACGGGUGAAAGCAGGGGAUCUUCGGACCUUGCGCGAUUGAAUGAGCCGAUGUCGGAUUAGCUAGUUGGCGGGGUAAAGGCCCACCAAGGCGACGAUCCGUAGCUGGUCUGAGAGGAUGAUCCGCCACACUGGAACUGAGACACGGUCCAGACUCCUACGGGAGGCAGCAGUGGGGAAUAUUGGACAAUGGGCGCAAGCCUGAUCCAGCCAUACCGCGUGGGUGAAGAAGGCCUUCGGGUUGUAAAGCCCUUUUGUUGGGAAAGAAAAGCAGCAGGUUAAUACCCCGCUGUUCUGACGGUACCCAAAGAAUAAGCACCGGUUAACUUCGUG
rnacentral:rRNA from 1 species